AUCACAUAUCGUCUACAGUUUUUAACAUUAAAUCAAUCAAUGUGGUUCCCUUCAUUUUUGCAUCUCAGGCCUCUAUCCCGAUUGGUUCUCUUUUCUUAGUUCGACACUUCCACCUCCGUCUCCUUACUUUCUGCUGGUAGGCAAUGCACUCUAUUCUCUAAGUAGUGUUUGUUGAAUUGUUUCCUUGCCUCGAAAUCAAUUUGGAUACGUUUUCUUAAAAUACGUGAGCAACUGUAUGGUCCAAUAAAAUUAUAUAUGGUAAAAAUGAAAAAGUAGUAUAACUGUUGUUUGUUGCCCUCACAGACCUAACAUCAAGUGUUUACCAUGACUUUUCGAAAUUUUGAUUACAAAAACAGGGCACUGGACAGUUUUAUAGGGGAUCUAUGUGCACUAGCUCAUAUAAAAAUAUAGAACAUCUUAAUAAUGUGAUGGUAAAGCAAGGAGCUGGAGAAAAUCAAAGUACGAAUAUACUGAUGCUUACAUCUGAAUUACGCACGGGGGUGUAGAAGUCACUACAUCUUCUUUGCUUGUAAAACAAAUUGAAUGAGUUCCAAGUAGGGGCUAAUACACAGUGGGAAACUAUUUUUGUUAAAUUAAAUUUCAGAUGUUACAACAGUAUAAUAUGUUCAAUUGCUGACUCAUACAUACGCUAGCUUUGCACACUGGCUGCUUCUGCAUAAUGAACAUGGAGGCACAAGUCGAACAUGCAAGUACAACUGAAUACUGAACAUUCAGAUAUACUACUGAAUUAAUGCAGUCAACGUGCAUACACUAUAUAUUUACUCAAAGUAUUCAGAGUAAUGGUAAAAAUUAAACCAUGUAUCAUGUAGCAAAGUAUAUGAACUUCAGUGUAUAAGUAUCAAGUGUCCAUGUGCAUAAGAGUAGGUGUCUUCAGAAAUUUGAAUUCAGUCCCUUCUUAUAUUAUUUAACAGGCUGUAUUAUAUUUGUUUUAGUCUCAAUCUCAGGAUGUUUCUUUGUUGAAAACUUGAAAUGCAACAGACAAGAAUCAUCUCAUGACAUCAUGUCUUCUUUGACAAAGAAGAAUGUUUAACAAAUACACCAGAAAACAGGUACACAUAUAGAUCCACACGCACAAACAUCUUUAUUGUCUUGUGCCGAAGGGCAGUAUCAAAGUACCACAGUCUGUCAAUUCAUUUGAUCUUGAAAUCAGCUUCAGUCUACCACUUCAAUACAUCAGACGUUUGGUCUGUUUGUUCUAUGGAUGCAAAAACCCGAGUUGUUUAUUAGAUAAUGUAGCGCAAUGCAUGACCUUGACAUUCAACUGUAUGCACACGUUACAUGUCAUUAGCUUGUUGAUUAACAUAUAAUUUUAACAUUGUCUUCCCAAAGAUAGUAUGCCAAGUGUACGUACAUGGCUUCGAAGCAUGAACAUCCCAAUGCAGGCUGCUAAAAGUGUACAAUCAGAUGAAGAAAAUUUACAAGACCCUCCACAGAUUGAUGAUUUAUUACCAAACAAGGCUCCUGAAUCUACUAGGUCAUUGGUCAUGGUGUUGCAUGGCCUCUACCACAUCUAAGUACACUUCCAUGAAACCAUUGAGUUUGCUCCAAUGUCCAUACUUUAGGGUUCAUUAUUUAUGAAGAAUAUUAGUGUUUUUUAGGUCAAAAAACCAAUCCGAACGCUGCAACACAGCCUCAAAAGAAGCCACAAAUCAUUGGGUAGCUGGACAAUUAGAAAAGGAGUGCAUUGCAAGAGCCAAGAGCAACUAUAGAAGAAUUAGUAUUAAAUGAACAAGCAUUAUGCCUUAUGUAUAGAUUUGGGUUUCAUAGGAAUACCUAGAUAUAAUUAUACGAUUUUUUCUUAAUUAUUUGCAUCUUUAUAUGAAUGCCUAAUUUGAUUCAGUUGCGAACUCGAGGUUUGAUCCUACUAACUAUUCAACUGGAUUUGGAACUAAGUAUGUUAAUUGUGUGAAUGAGAUGCUUGUGAAUGCAACUGGUGAUAUUGGCGGAUGCAUUUUA